GCAAGUCGAACGAACUCUGGUAUUGAUUGGUGCUUGCAUCAUGAUUUACAUUUGAGUGAGUGGCGAACUGGUGAGUAACACGUGGGAAACCUGCCCAGAAGCGGGGGAUAACACCUGGAAACAGAUGCUAAUACCGCAUAACAACUUGGACCGCAUGGUCCGAGCUUGAAAGAUGGCUUCGGCUAUCACUUUUGGAUGGUCCCGCGGCGUAUUAGCUAGAUGGUGGGGUAACGGCUCACCAUGGCAAUGAUACGUAGCCGACCUGAGAGGGUAAUCGGCCACAUUGGGACUGAGACACGGCCCAAACUCCUACGGGAGGCAGCAGUAGGGAAUCUUCCACAAUGGACGAAAGUCUGAUGGAGCAACGCCGCGUGAGUGAAGAAGGGUUUCGGCUCGUUAAACUCUGUUGUAUAAGAAGAACAUAUCUGAGAGUAAACUGUUCAGGGUAUUGACGGGUAUUUAAACCAGAAAGCCACGGCUAAACUACGUGCCAGCAGCCGCGGUAAUACGUAGGGUGGCAAGCGUUGUCCGGGAUUUAUUGGGCGUAAAGCGAGCGCAGGCGGUUUUUUAAGUCUGAUGUGAAAGCCUUUCGGCUCAACCGAAGAAGUGCAUCGGAAACUGGGAAACUUGAGUGCAGAAGAGGACAGUGGAACUCCAUGUGUAGCGGUGAAAUGCGUAGAUAUAUGGAAGAACACCAGUGGCGAAGGCGGCUGUCUGGUCUGUAACUGACGCUGAGGCUCGAAAUGAAU
rnacentral:rRNA from 2 species